GCGGGGAGUUUCGGUGGAAACAGGACAAUGACUUUGUGGUUUUGGAAAGUAGGCGUUUCCGUAGGUACAUUCGUGCACGUGUGCUGAGACGCGGUGAAGAGAAUUUUCCAUGUCCUUCAAUCAAGAAAUCAAACAUCUAAAGCCAAGAAACAACAUCCGCUGCAAAACUGGACAGACACAAAGCGGCGAGUGAGGACCAGAGUCCAGGAAGAAGCACAUCAGCGGUGGCACACAUCAAUGCCGCAUCAGGUAGCGGCUAUUGAUGUGGAUUUGUGUGUUGUUCACAACAGGGAACGGGAGCAGAUGUUUAAAGGCGUGCGCGUCGCUGAGACUGCACGCACGCCUGCCAGUGGCUUGGGAAACCCUCGGUACAAAAACAUUCCCAGUGUGGCAGAGCCGCCCAGCGCAAAUCACAGCAGCUUCUUCUUCAUGGCAGUGUCACUGCUAGGCCAGGCCUGCUGAGUCCUGCAGCAUGAACACACUCCACACACCCCUGGACUAACAAGCUGUGGUGUAAAGGGGACUACAAGUCGCUACUCAAGAAGAAAUACUGUUGCUGAUAUUUUACUAACAGCAAGCAGAAGCACUGCAGUGAAAAUCUGCUUAAGUAAAAGUAAGAAGUAGCUCAUUUAAAAUGUACUGGGAAUAAAAAUGAC